AAUGAACGCUGGCGGCAUGCCUAACACAUGCAAGUCGAACGAGGGGCGGACGGGUGAGUCAUGUCUGGGAAACUGCCUGAUAGAGGGGGAUAACUACUGGAAACGGUAGCUACUACCUCAUACCAUCAGAUGUGCCCAGAUGGGAUUAGCUUGUUGGUGGGGUAACGGCUCACCAAGGCGACGAUCCCGAGCUGGUCUGAGAGGAUGACCAGCCACACUGGAACUGAGACACGGUCCAGACUCCUACGGGAGGCAGCAGUGGGGAAUAUUGCACAAUGGGCGCAAGCCUGAUGCAGCCAUGCCGCGUGUGUGAAGAAGGCCUUCGGGUUGUAAAGUACUGUCAGCGGGGAGGCGUUACCCGCAGAAGAAGCACCGGCUAACUCCGUGCCAGCCGCCGCGGUAAUUC
rnacentral:rRNA from 1 species